rnacentral:rRNA from 1 species
CGGACGGGUGAGUAAUGUAUGGGGAUCUGCCUGAUGGCGGGGGAUAACUACUGGAAACGGUAGCUAAUACCGCAUAAUGUCUACGGACCAAAGCGGGGGACCUCCGGGCCUCGCGCCAUCAGAUGAACCCAUAUGGGAUUAGCUUGUAGGUAAGGUAACGGCUUACCUAGGCGACGAUCCCUAGCUGGUCUGAGAGGAUGAUCAGCCACACUGGGACUGAGACACGGCCCAG